UUAUUUAUUAAUUAUAUAACUGAUACGAUAAUCUACAAUUUCUGCAGUGCAAAGAUUCUGAUUUAAGCAAAAGCAGCCGCUUCAGUGACCAAAAUGAUGUAAUCACCGGCUUUAAGUGCAUGCAAGUUGGGUAGGGUCCACCAAUUGAUAUUUUUGAUUUCUUGGAUGAAUCUAAUCAUUUUUAAGGAUGAGGAUUCCACUUAAUCUUUCAUCAAAAAUCAUCAUCCUCCUUUUUCUAAUUUUCGUUAUGGUUGUGAUGAUCUCGUCAUGCACAUAAUCAUUGAUGUUCGUGACUGAAUAAAAUACUCACACACUACCCAAUAUAUCUAAUAACAAUCCUCUUUAGGUAAAUAAAUUAAUAAUUUGCUAAUACC
rnacentral:lncRNA from 1 species